rnacentral:piRNA from 1 species
UGCCAGUUUGCAACUUGUCGUGGAGUCAGCC